GGAACACAGGUGCUGCAUGGCUGUCGUCAGCUCGUGUCAUGAGAUGUUGGGUUAAGUCCCGCAACGAGCGCAACCCUUAUCAUUAGUUGCUACGCAAGGGCACUCUAAUGAGACUGCCGGUGACAAACCGGAGGAAGGUGGGAUGACGUCAAGUCCUCAUGGCCCUUAUGGGUAGGGCUUCACACGUCAUACAAUGGUCGGUACAGAGGGUUGCCAAGCCGCGAGGCGGAGCCAAUCCCACAAAGCCGAUCAUAGUCCGGAUUGUUCUCUGCAACUCGAGAGCAUGAAGUCGGAAUCGCUAGUAAUCGCAGGUCAGCAUACUGCGGUGAAUACGUUCCCGGGUCUU
rnacentral:rRNA from 1 species